GCGCUUGUACAGAGGACACCAAAACCAUGCAGUGAGCAUUUCAGCAAAAAAGGGGAAGGCCCGUUGUAAUGGGUGUUGUGAGGUGCGUCAAUGGUGAUGUCUUCUCAAGGCCUUGCCCACCCUAUCCUGAUUAUCCUGGCAUGAUUGUUGUCGGCAAUUCUAUAGAUGGAGUUUCAUUUGUAUUUAACGUUUUUAUGCAUAGCUAUGUUUCAUUGUUGUAAUAGUUUUUUUAUAUAAUACAUUGAGUAAUCAACGUUUAUGGCAUAUCUUUAUUUAUUGAAG